CUUUCUCGUUUCCAACCCUCUCCUUCCGCCUCCGCCGCCACACCCCUCGGGUUUGAAGCCCACACACGCGGCCUCUCUCCCAUGUAACCGGCCGGCAUGAGCAUCGCCAGCGGGAGAGCACGCAGCCCACCCCAACAGCAGCGGGGAGCUGGCCUGCCGCCGCCGCCGGGGAGGCGACCCGGCGACCGGAGGAGAGGGCGCCAUGGCGCGGAAGCACGGCUGGCAGCUCCCGGCCCACACCCUGCAGGCGGCUUCCGGCGGAGGAGUCUCGUGUUGUUCGUGGAGGCUGCGAGGAGGUAGCGAUGGGGAUCGGCUACCGAGCGAGGGCAAGGGCGCCGAUCUUCCAUCUCCUGUUUGUAAUCACCGGCGCGGCCACCAUCGACUGGAUCUUCACCCCCUCAGGAUGAUGAGGCAAGUCAGUAAGUUGAGAAGGUCAACAGUUGAAGCGAAUCUCAAUAAGAUGUGCCAUCAGUUGAUGGGCAGCUAGCCGUUGCAAGAGCAUUCAGAGAUAUGAGCUGCUACUCAUACACAGCUCCUACAAACCUACAGAGCCAUUGUUCUCCUACCUGGGAGCGGAUAGGAAGGAUUUGGGUGCCGGCAACGUGGGGCUGAGAAGAAAGGAGGAUGUGUGAGGACAACUAGUGGGCGUACUACAACCGCAGCUGAUUCGUGUGUGUUGUUUGUUCGAUCCAACCCUUCCGUCUGCAGGGCCUGGCGAAGGGAAUGAAGAUGCACACCCUCGGCCUCGGCCAUGACUUUGUCCUCUAGGUACAAAAGCGAGAUAGACUGAAAUUUGAUAAACAUUUGCUGAAUAUACAGUAUUGCAUGAUUCCUUGUAUUAGCCUCUUUCCAAAUGCUCAGUUUUAUGACAGGAAGAUUUUACAUGGUUCAAAUAUCCUGUCUCCUAGCUAUGACAAGGAUUAUACAUGCCUCCUGUAUGGCAGCUACACUCUUAUGAAUGUCACGGAUGGGAGGGAAGACAAGGAGGGCACAGGAAACAGUCGACGAAACAUGGUUGAAGUUGCUGUUGUUCUGCACCUCAUCCAAACCAUCUUUAGAUGUUGGAAAAGUACAGGCAAAGCGCUUAGCAUCGGUGUGGUCUCUUCCUAUAGUCUCAAUUUGAUGCUAUUAAAGAUAGACUUGAUAAAAAAUACAACACAUGUGAUGGCUUUCAUGUGCGCGUCAAGUCUAUUGAUGGUUUUCAAGGAGAAGAGGAUGAUAUAUUAAUACUAUCAACGGUAAUAUCCAAUUGGAAUGGAGUUGUUGGGUUUCUUGCUGAUAACCAAAGAACAAACAUUACAUGGGACAAGGGCAAGGCUCUGGAUUUUCUGAAUGAAUCGUUAGUAUAUACCCAACUGAAGCGAUGACGUCCUGCCGGUGUAUAUUGGCGACGACCGUAUCGACAGGAUCCUGGUGGCCAAGUGCCUCAAGGAGAGCAGCACGUCUUACUCACUCCAGGACCCAGCAGAGCUUUUUCAUGGCCUUUAGACAUUUGAAACGGAGGGAGUAUGAUCCUCCUAUAUUUGCGUGCUUGUAGCUUUGAUCUAUUUUAUGAAUGUGUGCUGCUGCUGUAUCUUAUUUUUCCAACCUAUUGAUCCUGUCACAUGUGCGCCAGGGCAGGCUCUGGUCAGCACCAAGGGAUUUCUGUUAUAAUUCCAUGAGCAAUGCUUGCAUUCA